AUUGAUUGUACCCGCCAGCUGGCUAAUAUCAUAAUUAACAAAGUUGCUACCAUGUCUGAGAAGUUUAAUCGAAAAAAUUGCCGGCAGUAUGAUGCCAUUGUCACAGAGAUCACAAGCACUGCAGUGUCGAGUUUUGUACUGGUGGAGCCACAGGACGAUGUAGGUGUGCUGAGAAGUCGUUCGCUGGGAUAACUAAAGUGAGAUGUGAUUACAGACGGCUCACCACUGGGCACUGGUAGAACUAGCCAGUGGCAACCGGCUCUUGCUCUGCUCACCACUGCCGGAGCAGCCGCACCACAGGAGCGCCGAACUUGGUGGCAGCAACAAACCCUCAGCAUGCAGGGAUGUCUGCAGGAACUCAUGGAGGCACGUCAGUCAGGUUUAGCUGGUGGAUCACAUUGUGAAAUUUACAGCCCUGAAAGGCCCUCCAUUUACUACAUCCUUCAAAACGAAAUAUUAGCAUGGGAGGCUAAGCUGGAUAUUAUGGACUAGUGACUUCAAGUUCUGGUUCAGAAGUAGCUCCAGGACAGCAUGAGGAGAACUGUCAAUAAGAAAUGGAGGCUAAUAACGAAGGAGUCAGUGAAGGAGACCAAUGCCACGAGGGUUAUCUCACAGCCCCAGAUGCUGGAUAAGUUGAAGGAGGCAGAAUAGCUUUUGGAUGACAUUCAGGAAGGCCUUGAAUGAUUAUUUGGUGAAGAAAAGACUAUUCUUUCCAAGGUUUUUUUCUCUGAAUGCAGCAAUGAUCUCUCAGGAAUUCUUUUUGAGACAAAGGAUCUACUCCAUGUCCAACCACACCUAAGGAAAUGCUUUGAAGGAAUUGCCAAGCUCACUUUUAAUCACGAGGAAGAAAUUACCCACAUGGAGUCAGCAGAAAAUGAAAAAGUAGAGCUCGUGCUGCGAAUAAUUCCAGCAAGUGCCAAGGGGCUAGUUGAGAAAUGGCUUCAUGAGGUGAAUAUCUUUAGCUCUUACUUA